AGUUCCCAGCUCUGACUUUUGGCAGCUGGAAACAGACUCUAGUCUCCUCGUUCUCUCCUCCUCCUCCUCCUCCUCCUCCUCUUUCUCGUGCCUUUCCUUUUCUUUCUCUUUUCAAGGUGGAAUUAUACAGCCAGAGACCUACAAGGAAUGCCCUGAUCUCUAGAGCAGCCACAGCACCAGAACUCGGCUGCACAAGAGACUACAAGCCCAAAUGCUCCCAGUCCUGUCCAGCUCGGGUCUCCCUUCUCUACUCCAUAUGCAGACCAGCAGGAUUUAAGUCCAGUGCCGCACGAUAUGAAGAAGAUUUGGAUCUAAAUCAUCAAAACAUGGGAAAAACAUCCAGAAGCAAAAACAAGAAUACCAAAACUGAGAACGUGUCGGUAAGAACCUUCUUCAUCCCUGAAACAUGGCUGAAAUGGACAAACUAACAAGAAACUUGAAGGAUCAAGAUCCAAAAGCAUUUUUGGAAGAUUGGAAAAAGUUGAAAAAAUAUAUGGAAAAGAAAUGGGAUGUUAAGGGGCAAUUAUGGUCUUUUGGGGGGGUUUAAUGAUACUAAGUAAGAUAAGAUAUAGUUAAGAUCUUUACUAAUA